GCCGAUGUAGCUCAGGGGUAGAGCAACUGAUUUGUAAUCAGUAGGUCGCGGGUUCAAAUCCCAUCAUCGGCU
rnacentral:tRNA from 1 species